rnacentral:rRNA from 1 species
GACGAACGCUGGCGGCGUGCUUAACACAUGCAAGUCGAACGGAAAGGCCCUGCUUUUGUGGGGUGCUCGAGUGGCGAACGGGUGAGUAACACGUGAGUAACCUGCCCUUGACUUUGGGAUAUCCUCAGGAAACUGGGGCUAAUCCCGGAUAGGAGCUCCUGCUGCAUGGUGGGGGUUGGAAAGUUUCGGCGGUUGGGGAUGGACUGGCGGCUUAUCAGCUUGUUGGUGGGGUAGUGGCUUACCAAGGCUUUGACGGGUAGCCGGCCUGAGAGGGUGACCGGCCACAUUGGGACUGGGAUACGGCACAGACUCCUACGGGAGGCAGCAGUGCGGAAUAUUGCACAAUGCGCGGAAGCCUGAUGCAGCAACGCCGCGUGCGGGAUGACGGCCAUCGGGUUGUAAACCGCUUUCGCCUGUGACGAAGCGAGAGUGACGGUAAUGGGUAAAGAAGCACCGGCUAACUACGUG